rfam:Helianthus annuus linkage group 12, whole genome shotgun sequence.
AGACCGUGGUGAGGACACUUUCGCAAUAACUCCUUGAACCUUUUCCCAAGUUUCAUAUAAGGAUUCCCCAUCCUCUUGUGAAUAUGUAUUAAUUUCAGUCAUUAAUUU